GCUAGAGCGGAGCCUGAAAUGCCCAUCGAGAUGCCAAUAUCCGCCAUAGCCAAUGCAGGGGCGUCAUUAACACCAUCUCCGACCAUGGCUGUUGGUCCUUCCUCUUUGAAUUCUUUGAUAAUCCUUGCCUUAUCUUCAGGAGAACAAAGGAUGUGGCAACCAGAGGGAAUAUAUUUAGAGCUAGAAAGUGCACCUGUUCUUGUACAUGCAUGGCUGCUGCAUGCCUAUCUCCGGUAAGCAUUGCUGUUUUAAUGCCCAACAACUUCAUCUCCCUGAUCGCCUCUGCUACGCCAGGUCGACAAGCAUCGGAGAGACAAAAGAUUCCUACCGGGGUUGCGCCGGAGUAUAUGUACCCAAUCGUCUUUCCUUCCUUCAUAUUGCCUUCUAAGGCUGGGACUAGAAAGUUGAAUAUCAGUGAAUUAGAACUAGGAAAGCACCUUAUCCAGCCUACUUAAUUACACCGAAAUGAAGAUGUUCUAAUAAUAUUAUUUUCAUGGAAAA